AACAUAUUGUAUGAUGUUUUUAUUCGUGCGGAAUGGAGUCUCGAGGGAGAAGUACUGAACAAGACAGGAUUUGACAUCGGUCAGUUGAGGGGGUCUCUGCCUAGGAAGUUUCUUACAGUGGCUCAAUAUACAUGUUGGCAGUUAUUAAGAGGAGUUCAAUAUAGAAUAGG